rnacentral:rRNA from 1 species
AGAGUUUGAUCAUGGCUCAGAUUGAACGCUGGCGGCAGGCCUAAGACAUGCAAGUCGAACGGUAACGACACUAGCUUGCUAGUGGUCGACGAGUGGCGGACGGGUGAGUAACGCGUAGGAAUCUACCUAGUAGUGGGGGAUAGCCAAGGGAAACUUUGGGUAAUACCGCAUACGAUCUAAGGAUGAAAGGGGGCCUCUCUUUGAAGCUCUCGCUAUUAGAUGAGCCUGCGUAAGAUUAGCUUGUUGGUGGGGUAAUGGCCCACCAAGGCGACGAUCUUUAGCUGGUCUGAGAGGAUGAUCAGUCACACUGGAACUGAGACACGGUCCAGACUCCUACGGGAGGCAGCAGUCGGGAAUAUUGGACAAUGGGGGAAACCCUGAUCCAGCCAUGCCGCGUGUGUGAAGAAGGCCCUAGGGUUGUAAAGCACUUUUAGUAGUGAGGAAGGCUCAGUAGUUAAUACCUACUGGGAUUGACGUUAGCUACAGAAAAAGCACCGGCUAAUUUCGUGCCAGCAGCCGCGGUAAUACGAAAGGUGCAAGCGUUAAUCGGAAUUACUGGGCGUAAAGCGCGCGUAGGCGGCUUGGUAAGUUGGAUGUGAAAGCCCCGGGCUCAACCUGGGAACUGCAUCCAAAACUGCCUAGCUAGAGUAUGGUAGAGGAUGGCGGAAUUUCCUGUGUAGCGGUGAAAUGCGUAGAUAUAGGAAGGAACAUCAGUGGCGAAGGCGGCCAUCUGGACCAAUACUGACGCUGAGGUGCGAAAGCGUGGGGAGCAAACAGGAUUAGAUACCCUGGUAGUCCACGCCGUAAACGAUGAGAACUAGCCGUUGGACAUCUUGCAUGUUUAGUGGCGCAGCUAACGCGAUAAGUUCUCCGCCUGGGGAGUACGGCCGCAAGGUUAAAACUCAAAUGAAUUGACGGGGGCCCGCACAAGCGGUGGAGCAUGUGGUUUA